GCUUUUGACGCUCACGGAAGGAGCAGGUAGGGCUUGCUUCUUCCAUGAGCGUAAUUCGGCAAGGCUGAUUGCUGAUCUGGACCCGGGGGCGGUACCCGGCAGCUCCACCAAAGAUAUAUUUUAGGUAGUGUAUCUUUGAUGGGGCUGAAACAGGAUCGACAGGCAGACAAGACGCUAAGACGCGCUUCGGCAAGAUACCACCGUCAUCGGUUCAAUGUUUGUAAAUGCAAACGCAAAACGAGUCGUUUCUAACGACAAUGUACCGGUUGCUGCAGUAGCAGCAGUAGCCUAAACGGAGCCCGGCCGGGGCUUGGCAACAGAACCCGGCCACU
rnacentral:tmRNA from 1 species